AGGCCCGUAGCUCAACAGGGUAGAGCACCGGUCUCCAAAACCGGGGGUUGUCGGUUCGAGUCCGGCCGGGCCUG
rnacentral:tRNA from 1 species